rnacentral:misc_RNA from 1 species
UUAACCCUCCCAGCUCUUCCCUCGUCUUCCAGUUGGUGUUUGCGCCUCGUAUGAAGCUGAAGCAGGACCUGGCAGUGAUCAAGGAGAGCGAGGGGAAGCUGAAGAAGGUGUUGGAUGUGUACGAGCGGAGGCUCGGAGAAAGUAGGUUUUUGGCAGGGGAUCACUUCACACUUGCUGAUCUCUGUCAUCUCCCGAAUGCUGGCUACAUUGUCGGCGAG